CAAUGAGUACUCUGUCUCUUUUUAAGGAGCAGAUAUUGUCUGUCAUCCACUUGGAGAGGAUAGGGUUCCUUCUCCACUGUGGCAGCAGAGGGGGAAAGAUCCUCUGACCGUGGGGGACUGACACCCACUAUUGAAGCUGAUCUUGCUCGGUCUCUCCUCUAUCAUCGUCAGAGCACUGCAGAGUGAGUUCUAUGGAAUACAGGAGUAAGGGAAUGACAAUAACUUGCUGUCCCAUAAUUUAAGACCCCCACUGUUACCAGCUGCUGCUGCUCCCUUUCUUACUAACAGGAAGGGAUUCCUACAUGUCCUUCAAAGUCAGCUCAAGUAUAAUUUCCUUUUGGAAGCAUUCUGCUAUCUUCAUGCCAGGAAGGAAGAAAACAAGAGAAGCAAAACCAUU